GUGCUCGCUUCGGCAGCACAUAUACUAAAAUUGGAACAAUACAGAGAUUAGUAUGGCCCCUGCGCAAGGAUGACACGCAAAUUUGUGAAGCGUUCCAUAUUUUU
ensembl:snRNA U6 U6 spliceosomal RNA